GUCAAUCAUAGCCAGGGGAGGUGUGGCUAGGGCUGCAUAAACAGAAACAAAGUGAUUUAACUCCCAAAUGGCAGUGAAAUUGCAGGGGAAUGAUCCAUACACUAAAACUGCUUUAUUUAGCUAAAGUAAUUUAGGUGACUAUAGUGUUCCUUUAAGUGCAUUUUGAAAUGUUACAUUUAACCAUUUAAUAACAAAGCCAAAAUUGAUGGAUAUAUUUAAUUGUGAGUUUCAUACAUUACAUUUUUUGCAGUGAAUAUCACAGACCUUGUGUGUCCCACCACUGCAAGGACCCCAG